rnacentral:rRNA from 1 species
ACAAGCAGUGGGAGCACAGGUUUACCUGUGUGACUGCGUACCUUUUGUAUAAUGGGUCAGCGACUUAUAUUCUGUAGCAAGGUUAACCGUAUAGGGGAGCCGUAGGGAAACCGAGUCUUAACCGGGCGUUAAGUUGCAGGGUAUAGACCCGAAACCCGGUGAUCUAGCCAUGGGCAGGUUGAAGGUUGGGUAACACUAACUGGAGGACCGAACCGACUAAUGUUGAAAAAUUAGCGGAUGACCUGUGGCUGGGGGUGAAAGGCCAAUCAAACCGGGAGAUAGCUGGUUCUCCCCGAAAGCUAUUUAGGUAGCGCCUCGUGAAUUCAUCUCCGGGGGUAGAGCACUGUUUCGGCUAGGGGGCCAUCCCGGCUUACCAACCCGAUGCAAACUGCGAAUACCGGAGAAUGUUAUCACGGGAGACACACGGCGGGUGCUAACGUCCGUCGUGAAGAGGGAAACAACCCAGACCGCCAGCUAAGGUCCCAAAGUCAUGGUUAAGUGGGAAACGAUGUGGGAAGGCCCAGACAGCCAGGAUGUUGGCUUAGAAGCAGCCAUCAUUUAAAGAAAGCGUAAUAGCUCACUGGUCGAGUCGGCCUGCGCGGAAGAUGUAACGGGGCUAAACCAU